GAUGAACGCUAGCGGCAGGCCUAAUACAUGCAAGUCGAACGAGAUUAAGGAGCUUGCUCCUUAUGAAAGUGGCGCACGGGUGCGUAACGCGUAUGCAACCUACCUUAAUCAGGAGGAUAGCCCGAAGAAAUUCGGAUUAACACCGCAUAAAAACACAGGAUAGCAUUAUCCAAUGUUCAAAUAUUUAUAGGAUUAAGAUGGGCAUGCGUGUCAUUAGCUAGUUGGCGGGGUAACGGCCCACCAAGGCGACGAUGACUAGGGGAUCUGAGAGGAUGACCCCCCACACUGGUACUGAGACACGGAACAGACUCCUACGGGAGGCAGCAGUAAGGCGUAUUGGUCAAUGGAGGCAACUCUUCACCAGCCAUGCCGCGGACAGGAAGGCUGCCCUAUUCGUUGUAAACUGCUUUUAUCCGGGAAUAAACCUUAUUACGUGUAAUUAGCUGAAUGUACCGCAAGAAUAAAGAUCGGCUAACUCGGUGCCAGCAGCCCCCGCCGUAA
rnacentral:rRNA from 1 species